rnacentral:rRNA from 1 species
GACGAACGCUGGCGGCGUGCUUAACACAUGCAAGUCGAACGGUAAGGCCCUUCGGGGUACACGAGUGGCGAACGGGUGAGUAACACAUGGGUGAUCUGCCCUGCACUUCGGGAUAAGCCUGGGAAACUGGGUCUAAUACCGGAUAGGACCACUGCCUGCAUGGGUGGUGGUGGAAAGCUUUUGCGGUGUGGGAUGGGCCCGCGGCCUAUCAGCCUGUUGGUGGGGUGAUGGCCUACCAAGGCGACGACGGGUAGCCGGCCUGAGAGGGUGACCGGCCACACUGGGACUGAGAUACGGCCCAGACUCCUACGGGAGGCAGCGGUGGGGAAUAUUGCACAAUGGGCGCAAGCCUGAUGCAGCGACGCCGCGUGAGGGAUGACGGCCUUCGGGUUGUAAACCUCUUUCAGCACCGACGAAGCGCAAGUGACGGUAGGUGCAGAAGAAGGACCGGCCAACUACGUGCCAGCCGCCGCCGUAA